AUUGAACGCUGGCGCAGGCCUAACACAUGCAAGUCGAGCGGCAGCGGGAAAGUAGCUUGCUACUUUUGCCGGCGAGCGGCGGACGGGUGAGUAAUGCCUGGGAAAUUGCCCAGUCGAGGGGGAUAACAGUUGGAAACGACUGCUAAUACCGCAUACGCCCUACGGGGGAAAGCAGGGGACCUUCGGGCCUUGCGCGAUUGGAUAUGCCCAGGUGGGAUUAGCUAGUUGGUGAGGUAAUGGCUCACCAAGGCGACGAUCCCUAGCUGGUCUGAGAGGAUGAUCAGCCACACUGGAACUGAGACACGGUCCAGACUCCUACGGGAGGCAGCAGUGGGGAAUAUUGCACAAUGGGGGAAACCCUGAUGCAGCCAUGCCGCGUGUGUGAAGAAGGCCUUCGGGUUGUAAAGCACUUUCAGCGAGGAGGAAAGGUCAGUAGCUAAUACCUGCUGGCUGUGACGUUACUCGCAGAAGAAGCACCGGCUAACUCCGUGCCAGCAGCCGCAGUAAAAC
rnacentral:rRNA from 1 species